GAAACUAACAUACUUGGUAUAGAAUCAAGAUGAGAAAGAGAAAAAGAGCGAAUAAGAGAGGAAGAAAUAGGCCAUAUUAAUUGCUGUGUAUUUCUUUCUACCACAUCAUAUCCUGUAAUAUUUUCAU
rnacentral:ribozyme from 1 species